GAUGAACGCUGGCGGCGUGCUUAACACAUGCAAGUCGAACGAGAAGUGAAGACGGAAACCUUCGGGCGGAAGGCUUUAUUUCGAGUGGCGGACGGGUGAGUAACGCGUGGGUAACCUGCCUCAUACAGGGGGAUAACAGUUGGAAACGACUGUUAAUACCGCAUAAGACCACAGCACCGCAUGGUGCGGGGGUAAAAACUCCGGUGGUAUGAGAUGGACCCGCGUUCGAUUAGCCAGUUGGCGGGGUAACGGCCCACCAAAGCGACGAUCGAUAGCCGAUCUGAGAGGAUGACCGGCCACAUUGGGACUGAGACACGGCCCAAACUCCUACGGGAGGCAGCAGUGGGGAAUAUUGCACAAUGGGGGAAACCCUGAUGCAGCGACGCCGCGUGAGUGAAGAAGUAUUUCGGUAUGUAAAGCUCUAUCAGCAGGGAAGAAAAUGACGGUACCUGAGUAAGAAGCCCCGGCUAACUACGUA
rnacentral:rRNA from 1 species